CUUCAAACGAGAAUGUACUCCCUGGCCACAGCUCACACGACUCCGAGAACCAGUUCUUCUUUAAUGUAUCCAUAAUUUAUCUGUAAAAGAUAGCUAUUAAUUUUUAUCUCAAAUUACUCUUGCGCACUGAUUGAAGAUUCGAGCGGGAUUCGAGACACUCGGUCAAUAUGUCCAAUGUUAUUGUGCCUGGCCCCAACUCCCAAUUACUUGAAGAACUAAUUAAACAAUUUACAGUGGCAGAUAAAACUAGUAAUUAUUAAUUAAACUAUAAUAUUCAGCGAACACAGUGCACACUGCACACUAAAUGCGAAGAACACGAAUUUC